AGUGAACGCUGGCGGCGUGCCUAAUACAUGCAAGUCGAACGGAGUGGCGCACGGGUGAGUAAUGUAUAGCUAAUCUGACCUACACUAGAGGACAACAGUUGGAAACGGCUGCUAAUACUCUAUAGUAUAGGAUGAAGCUAUAUUGUAUCAGCUAGUUGGUGAGGUAAUGGCUCACCCAGGCUAUGACGCAUAACUGGUCUGAGAGGAGGAGCAGUCACACUGGAACGUAGACACGGUCCAGACUCCUACGGGAGGCAGCAGUAGGUAAUAUUGCUCAAUGGGGGAAACCCUGAAGCAGCAACGCCGCGUGGAGGAUGACACUUUUCGGAGCGUAAACUCCUUUUGUUAGGGAAUCGGUACCUAACGAAUAAGCACCGGCUAACUCCGUGCCAGCAGCCGCGGUAAUAC
rnacentral:rRNA from 1 species